AGUGAACGCUGGCGGUAGGCCUAACACAUGCAAGUCGAACGGCAGCACAGGAGAGCUUGCUCUCUGGGUGGCGAGUGGCGGACGGGUGAGGAAUACAUCGGAAUCUGCCCAGUCGUGGGGGAUAACGUAGGGAAACUUACGCUAAUACCGCAUACGACCUUCGGGUGAAAGAGGGGGAUCGCAAGACCUCUCGCGAUUGGAUGAGCCGAUGUCGGAUUAGCUAGUUGGCGAGGUAAUGGCCCACCAAGGCGACGAUCCGUAGCUGGUCUGAGAGGAUGAUCAGCCACACUGGAACUGAGACACGGUCCAGACUCCUACGGGAGGCAGCAGUGGGGAAUAUUGGACAAUGGGCGCAAGCCUGAUCCAGCCAUACCGCGUGGGUGAAGAAGGCCUUCGGGUUGUAAAGCCCUUUUGUUGGGAAAGAAAUCUUUCAGGCUAAUACCCUGGGAGGAUGACGGUACCCAAAGAAUAAGCACCGGCUAACUUCGUG
rnacentral:rRNA from 1 species